AACUGCUCAUGAAUGAAUAUGUAACUGUGCAGAUGUGCAUUAUUAUUACUCCUACUGCAGUGCCUACCCCACAGUAUAAAAGGGAGGGGGGAAAUAGUCAUUGAAGUAGAGGAACAGUUUUACCACUGCCUAAUGUAAAAGUGCUGAAAAUCUUUUCCUAAUAAUUUGAUUACCAUCAAGAUACUCCCCACAAGCUAUAGGAAUUUCCAUGGUAGUGUGGUUGGUUAUAAUCUCUAUUUUCAACCUCCUAUUAGCUAUUACAGGAGUGGAGGGGGAAGUAGAAUAGGAGGAAAAUUUUCACCAUAACAAAGAUUUAAAUUUGAAGCAAGAUGGCUUGGUAAAUCCAAAAUUUUUUUUUGCUGGGGAAGGGGAGAGGGGAAGGAUCAGUGCCUCUGACAGUUUGGUAGCAUUUCAUCUUCAUACUUCAAGAACUAGUGCACAGAAUGUUUUCAGUUUUGUUUGUGUUCGGAUUAAGGAAGGAACUGCAGAUUAGGCCGGGUCACUAUUUUUACAGAUUACUUGGUAAGAACGGUACCUUCUUAAGGAUGUUACUUUCCAAACCCCUCCUCCUCUGCCCCAACACACCAUGAAUUGGAGAAUAUACAGGGUACCAGGUUCCCUGCUGGGGAAGAUCUUUUUGAUUCUGAGAGUUUAUCCCUGUUCCAGCCACCCCCACUAUCUGUGCCGCUUUUGGGGGUAGCAGUGGGGAUUACUGGUGAUUCCUACUCAACAAUAGUACAGGGCAAUGAAAGCUCAUAGGAAAAAAUACCGUGAACUAAUUUAAGGGAAGGAGAGAGAAAAAGUGAAGCCAUGCUACCAGCAAAGCAGCUUUCCUGUUAC